UACGAAGGGGGCUAGCGUUGCUCGGAAUUACUGGGCGUAAAGGGCGCGUAGGCGGCACUGUUAGUCAGGCGUGAAAGUCCUGGGCUCAACCUGGGAACUGCGCUUGAUACGGCAGAGCUAGAGGAUGGAAGAGGCUCGCGGAAUUCCCAGUGUAGAGGUGAAAUUCGUAGAUAUUGGGAAGAACACCGGUGGCGAAGGCGGCGAGCUGGUCCAUUACUGACGCUGAGGCGCGAAAGCUAGGGGAGCAAACAGG
rnacentral:rRNA from 1 species